AAUCCCUUAUCGAUUAACAAUUAGAGGGCAAGUCUGGUGCCAGCAGCCGCGGUAAUUCCAGCUCUAAUAGCGUAUAUUAAAGUUGUUGCAGUUAAAAAGCUCGUAGUUGGAUUUCGGCGUGCGCUCAGGCUGGUCGGCCGUCAAGGUCUGUACCGUUUGGGUCACGCCCCACUGUAGGAUACUCACCGCUGUCCUUAACUGGGUGGCGGUCAAAGGGGGUGUGCAUGGGGGCAACUCUGUGCAUAUCUCUGGGGUUCCUACUCUUUUACUUUGAGCAAAUAGAGUGUUCAAAGCAGGCAAUCGAGCCUUGAAUACUUCAGCAUGGGAUAAUGGAACAGGACUGGGGUCCUGAUUUCGUUGGUUUCUGGGAUCUCAGUAAUGAUUAAUAGGGAUAGUUGGGGGCAUUAGUAUUUAAUUGUCAGAGGUGAAGUUCUUGGAUUUAUGAAAGACUAACUUCUGCGAAAGCAUUUGCCAAGGAUGUUUUCAUUAAUCAAGAACGAAAGUUAGGGGAUCGAAGACGAUCAGAUACCGUCGUAGUCUUAACCAUAAACGAUGCCGACCAGCGAUUGGGAGACGUUACAUGGAUGACUCCCCCAGCAGCUUGCGAGAAAUCAUAAGUCUUUGGGUUCCGGGGGGAGUAUGGUCGCAAGGCUGAAACUUAAAGGAAUUGACGGAAGGGCACCACCAGGAGUGGAGCCUACGGCUUAAUUUGACCCAACACGGGGAAACUUACCAGGUCCAGACAUAGUAAGGAUUGACAGAUUUGAGAGCUCUUUCUUGAUUCUAUGGGUGGUGGUGCAUGGCCGUUCUUAGUUGGUGGAGUGAUUUGUCUGGUUAAUUCCGUUAACGAGCGAGACCUUAACCUGCUAAAUAUGUCACUGGUAGACUUCUGCCAAAACAGGUGGGUGUCUAGGGGAAAGUUUCGAUGGACUCCGACGCAUUCAUCUGUGGAUGACUACCAGGAUGUACUUCUUAGAGGGACUAUCUGUAUCAAAGCAGAUGGAAGUUUGAGGCAAUAACAGGUCUGUGAUGCCCUAGAUGUUCUGGGCCGCACGCGCGCUACACUGACAAGUUCAACGAGUUUAACACCUUGCUCGAUAGGGCUGGGUAAUCUUUGAAAAACUUGUCGUGAUGGGGAUAGAUCAUUGUAAUUAUUGGUCUUCAACGAGGAAUUCCUAGUAAGCGUGAGUCAUCAGCUCGCGUUGAUUACGUCCCUGCCCUUUGUACACACCGCCCGUCGCUCCUACCGAUUGAAUGAUCCGGUGAAAUGUUGGGAGCUGGGGUCUUUUGGCGGCGGGGCAACUCGUCGUCAGGGAUUCUGCAAACUUCAUUAAACCUUAUCAUUUAGA
rnacentral:rRNA from 1 species